GUGACAACCAGCUGACUACGGAAAACGAGUAUUGAGGCGCCGCAAUGACCCUAUCUCUUCAAAAAUGCAUAUUCUCUCACCUCUACCGUCCGAUCUCUUUCCACGUCAUCCAUCCGCGUGAAUCCACGUUUCAACGGUUCAGAUCAAGUUGCAGAGCUACUGGUACAACGAACGAGGAAGCUCCUCUCUCCUCUCCAAUUGCUGAUUUCAAAUUUUUUUCCUGGAAAAAAAAUAUUUUCCCUAGAAAGUUUGUAUACUUCCCGCUUUAGUUUUUUUAUUUCUUUGAACAUGAAAAUCAUGGAGCAAGAAGGAGAAAUUUUCGAAGAGGAGAAGGAAAUUAGAGUUUUCAGUGCAGAAGAAACAGACGACGACAGUGAACCAAAGGAUGGCGUAGAAGCUGAAGAGGAAGAGGAAGAUGAUGACGAAGACGGAGAGGAAGAAGACGACGACGACGACGAC
rnacentral:misc_RNA from 1 species